GAUGUGAGCCGCCGUGCCCAGCCCAAUUUAGACUUUUUAAACCAACUUUUGAAAGUUGGUUUAAAAAAAAAUAAAUGACUGGGUCAUGUUCUAACUACUCGUAGUCUCAGCCAAACACAAUUGCGGAAGGCCUAGCCAAAGGCUCUUUACUCAGUGAAAGUUCCAUGAAUCUCAGGCACAGAGGAUAGUCUGGAAAGACCUAACCUGCACAUGCAAAUCGAUUAAGAAAGACGAAGUCUUAGGCUUAUAUGGAGCUAAAUAAUUGCAUGUUUAAUGCAAUGCCAGGGUACAGGUAAUGUUGAUUGGAGUUGGAGGGGUGAUGUGUGUGCUGGGUGAGGAAGUCAGGGCUGAGUCCUAGGUGAGAUCAGUAAGAGUGAUGUGUAUUUAGGCAUCUGAGGGCUGGAACGCCCACGACAGGAUUUAUUUUCAUUCUCUUUCGAGGAAAGCCAUGCUGCCUUGCUGCUUCUCGCUCGUGCAUAGAGCACUUGGUGUCUUGCGAAUCCCCUGUGAUGCCGGUGCCUUUCCAGGCCAAUGCUUUGCUUGUGCUCAGAAGAUGCUUGCUUGGGCCCUACCAGACUAUCUUAGGGAUGAGAAGCAAAUUUUCUUUCCAGUGCUCUGUUUGGGCCCCCCACGGCAUUUUCUUUCAUUUUGGGUUCCAUCCUGGCCUAAAGCUCCCCAUGAAAGCUAAUGGCCAUUGGAGUUAACCCAAAUUUUCUCCUUUGGUAUUUAUAAAAAGCAACACUGAAAAACCUUGAAAUUAACUAACAAUAAAAAACCAUUGAUCGGUUCUUUCCUGGAGAUAGUUCUUUCUUCUCAAAUAGGCCACUUUGCAGACUGGAAAUCACCCCAAUCCUCAAAUUGCCUAAUAUGUUUCACAUGUGAUUCCAGCAAAUUGCUGUUUGCAUAACACCUUGGUGGGGACUCACUUAAGGCUAGAUUUGUUAGUGUAUUUACUGACAUUUUCACAUGAUGUUUUGAGCUGCCUGAAUAAUUGUAAUAUUGGCCAGAAAAAAAUCAAAGUAAUGAAAGGUGCCUACAAUUAUUCAUAUCUCAACAUUAUAAGCCUUAAUUUCCUGCCUGAAAUGUGGUAAAUUAUUCAUUUUUAAAGUCAUCUCUAGCCACUGAGAGUUUAUGGUGAUGUAUAUAGAUGUUUUGUACACUCCAAAAAAAAAAAAUCAAUGACUAUGAAUAUCACAGACUGUCAAAAUAGCUGGUGUGAUUAUAAAAUAGUGAGAUCAGCUAAAGACAUCAGCUCUCAGACAUCCAAAUUGUAAGAGGAAAAUGAAGACGAAGAAGGGGGAAGUGAAUUGCUCAAUGUCUUGUGGGUACCAAAUAAUAGAGUCAGCAUCUGCCCCUGCCAUACUCAAGAUUUUGCACUGUUACUUACACACAUUCAUUCCUCUUUUUGCAGGCUUUGUCGGGCCAGGAGAUGGUUUUGUAGCAGCAGAAGACUAUAAACUGGGCUUUGGGAGAUAGGAUCUCUGGUUGUAUUCUGGCUGUCCACACUCUGAAAGAGGACCCUGACAGAGAAUUUGAGUAUUCUACCAAUAUACCCACAAAAGGAUGAAAGAGGAUUUGGAGUCAAGGGAAAACAAGGGCAAUAAAAUAGAUCCUUACCACCUACUCUCAUACAGUUGCUAGAAGAGGACUGCACAUUUGGUUCUAAGUUUCUGGAAGAUAAAGCAAAAAUAGAAACACUACUAAUUAUAAAAUUUUGGUGUAUCCAUAAAAUAAAAACAAAUGAACUGUUU